GAAAAAAUACCUUUGAGAGUUAUAAGAUUUAGAAAAAAAAAAUUAUUUUAAUGUAUGUAUGUAUUUUUCUGUAAAUUCAGUUUGAACCAAUGUGAAAAAGCAUGAACAUUUUAUUACUUUUGUAUUCAGCAUUGUCAGAAAGCCAAUCACAUCUUGCCACCUAUCUUACCCUGGAUACAUUUUACAAAACACAGAGCAGGGGGAUUAUCACUAUCAUAGCUGUGCUUGGUCUGAACGUAAAUUUGAGGUCUACAUCUUAUAAGAACAUGCUCUCACCUCACUGUACUUCCCCUAGCACUGAUCAGAGUUGAAAAACACAUGAUAGAGCGAUAAAUAAGUAUUUUGUAUAUAUAUUCAUUACCUGCUCUCAGUUUCCGAAUUCAUUGACCUUUGAAUCUAUUACAAUGAUGCAUUAGGUGAAAUUUUUUAGCAAUAUCAAAUCUGUCUAUGGCCCUUGACCUUAUUCUCUUGUAUUCUCGAGCUUGUAUUAUAUGUCUCAGAAUAAAAAUCGAUUGAUUUCUCAAUGAGUUCUGAAUUUAAAGCUAAUAUUGUAAUGAGUAUAAGUGAAGCUUAUAUUGUGUAAACUGUAAUUUAACCAGCAUUAUAGUCUCUGCUCAGAGCCAGUUAUAAAAAUACAGUAUUGAACCCACCUCAAGUAAUUGUGUCUGUCCCAAGUCAGACUAGUUAGUGGUUGCCUUCAGUUAUAUUUUAAUAUUUUUGUCCUUAUUGGAAUUGAUUGUAAAACUUAUUAAGUCUGCUGAUAUUAUUCUAACUUGUCUGGAUGGUUUAGAGUUUGACCUGUUCUAUAGACACUUGUCUGAUGUAGAGGAUUGUGUGAUCAUGUGGAACUAUUUAAUUAACUUUUACCCCUCAUCUCAUUGUAUUCAUAGGAAUUAAUAAUAAAACUUACGACUUUACUCAUCAUUUCCUGGGAAAAUUAAUUAAAAAAUGAAGAUGUGUUAUGGU
rnacentral:lncRNA from 1 species